GUUGAAUCACUCUAACGGCUGACAGGGAGCUUUACGGACAUGGAUAAGGCUCAGAGAAGACAAGACUGGCAGCCUUCUCUCAGGAUGAGCUGGCUACUGGUUUUGGUUUUGGCUUCUGAGAGAUUUCGUGUUCCCUGGAGAUUGGUUCCAGACCAGGGAAAUCAAACUGCUCUCUGGCACCAUACCAUCUCACGUCAUCACAAGAAGAAGAAGGGUGAGGACAGCACAGUAAGAUACUUGGAGAGAGAGAGACAACACAUUCACGUGAGAAGAACCCAAAGGACUCCCAGAAUGUAGCAGAUAUGGAGCAAGAGGAAAGCAGGUCAAAUCCUUGAGCCUUGGAGCAUGAAAGAGAGAAGGAAAAGAGGGCAGUUCUGGGCCUGAGCAAAGGAAGGGCCACGUGGGAUUUCCCAGAAAGUUUGAAUCCAAGAAGCCUUCUCAGAAGACGUGAAUCUGAGCAGAGCUGAAAAUGGCUCGUGCAAAGACUGUGGAGGCAGGGGGGGCGGUAAUUCUAGGCUGAUGCAAGCAGGCACCAGAAGCAAAUUUUCGGAGGCUGAGCCCUGGCUGGAGUCUCCCCAGCCCUGCUUUGAAUGGGGUGUCCAGCCUGAGGAGACAAAAGUUAACUGUGGGAUCAUCAUUACGAUGCUUCGGUCUCCAGAUGCCAGGAACUAUCCAGGCUGCGGGAGGGACAGGCCACCAUUUCUUUUCCAAGGACCGUCACAGCCUGGCUGCUCCCCUGCCACAGACUCUGUGACUUGGCCCUUGGGAAUUCGCCUGGCAGUCUCUAAACUGCCCAGCAGGUUGGACCAUUGAGUAUGAAGAAAUCUCAUGUUAAUGACCUUGAGUGAAAGUGUCCAGGUCUUCGCCAGCCUCCCUUAGCCUCUGAUGUCAUCUCCUUCCUCCCCAUUUGUGCCCCACAGCGCACCAACUCUGGGUGGGAUGGUCCUGAGCCUCAUUGUAAGAGUUUCUCUAAUUAGCUGUGAAAGGCCCAUGGGCAUCUGAAGCCCCAGUUUGGACUUGUCCCUGCCCAUCUACAAUACUAGGAUGCUGCUCUCUCCACAGCCACAGAGAGAGGCAACACUGGGCCCACAGUGACUCAAAACAAGGAAAACAGAAGUCAAACGCUAUUGCAGAGAACAUCCCACUGCCCCCCACAUCCCAGCCCCACCCCACCCCACCCGGGGCUCCCUGGAGGUGCCAGUCAGCAUUCCCCCUCUCUGCACUUCCACUGCCCCCACUCAACAAAUCCCACUAUGUUCCUGCUCCAUGCGAGACGGGCAUGGCUGCCAGUUUGCUGCAAACCUUCCACGAUGGUUAAUUUCAUGUGCCAAGUUGGCUGGACCUUGGAACCCAGAUAUUUGGCCAAGCACCAAUCUAGAUGUUGUUGUGAAGGUGCUUUUUAGAUGAGAUUAAUAUUUAAACCAGUAGACUUUGAGUAAAGCACAUUACCCUCUAUAAUGUGGGUGGGCCUCAUCCAAUCAGUUGAAGGCCUUAGAGAAAAUAGACUGAGCACCCCAGAGGAAGAAGAAAUUCUGCCAGCAGAUGGCCUUCGAACUUGAGCUGUAAAUCAACUCUUCCCUGAGUAUCCAGCCUGUCAACCUACCCUGCUGAUUUUGGACUUGCAGCCUCUACAAUUGCAUGAGCCAAU
rnacentral:lncRNA from 1 species